rnacentral:rRNA from 1 species
CCCUACGGGGUGCAGCAGGUGGGCGCAGAGUGUGCAUUUCUGGGGGAUCUGUUUUUCCUGGUUCCACCAUAUUGCAUCAUAGGGGCAUGCCCUGACGAUUGCCUCCUGUCCUUUUGCCCUGACAGGAUCUAUGACUACUAUCCCGUCAUCCCUCUUGUACACGGCAUUGUCCUUUGCAGCCUUGAUGCAUGGGGCAUCAUCACAGUGCAUGCAGGGGGUGGGCCUGUAGGCGACAUCAAUGAGGGGGUACUGCCCACGCUCUUUCCUCAUAAUGUUCAUCCACCUCUGCCCAUGGAGCGGCUGAGGGGCGCUGUAGCCUGGCCAGCUGUUGUCCACAUGCUCGUCCUUGCAUGAAAGAAAGCAGUUGUUGCAGUCUUCGCACUUUUCAAUAUCAAUAAUCAUGUUCCAUUUUUUCAUUUUAUCUCUGCCUCCCCCUGCCACUUUGCGAUCUGAACAAGACAUGAAUUGGCGGGAGAGC